ACUUAAAUAAUUUAAAUAAAAUAAUGAUUUGUGGAGUCAAAAAUAUGAGAAAUUCAUUUUAGGUC
rnacentral:tRNA from 1 species